rnacentral:tRNA from 1 species
GAGGAUAUAGCUCAGUGGUAGAGUGUACGCCUAGCAUGCCUGAGGUACUGGGUUCAAUCCCUAGUACCUCCA